rnacentral:rRNA from 1 species
CAAAGGUUAAUUCCGGUGGCGGAUGGGCAUGCGUCACAUUAGUUAGUUGGCGGUGUAACGGACCACCAAGACGACGAUGCGUAGGGGUUCCGAGAGGAAGGUCCCCCACACUGGUACUGAGACACGGACCAGACUCCUGCGGGAGGCAGCAGUGAGGAAUAUUGGUCAAUGGGCGGGAGCCUGAACCAGCCAAGUCGCGUGAGGGAUGACGGCCCUAUGGGUUGUAAACCUCUUUUGCCGGGGAGCAAAGUGCCGCACGUGUGCGGUUUGGAGAGUACCCGGAGAAAAAGCAUCGGCUAACUCCGUGCCAGCAGCCGCGGUAAUACGGAGGAUGCGAGCGUUAUCCGGAUUUAUUGGGUUUAAAGGGUGCGUAGGCGGACGCUUAAGUCAGCGGUAAAAUUGCGGGGCUCAACCUCGUCGAGCCGUUGAAACUGGGUGCCUUGAGUGGGCGAGAAGUACGCGGAAUGCGUGGUGUAGCGGUGAAAUGCAUAGAUAUCACGCAGAACUCCGAUUGCGAAGGCAGCGUACCGGCGCCCAACUGACGCUGAAGCACGAAGGCGUGGGUAUCGAACAGGAUUAGAUACCCUGGUAGUCCACGCAGUAAACGAUGAAUGCUAGUUGUCCGGGGCGAUUGAGUUCUGG